UACGAAGGGUGCAAACGUUGCUCGGAAUUAUUGGGCGUAAAGCGCACGUAGGCGGCAUUGCAAGUCGGAUGUGAAAUCCCUCGGCUUAACCAAGGAAGUGCAUCCGAAACUGCAGUGCUUGAGUACUUAAGAGGAUCGCGGAAUUCCCGGUGUAGAGGUGAAAUUCGUAGAUAUCGGGAGGAACACCAGUGGCGAAGGCGGCUUCCUGGACCGACACUGACGCUGAGGCGGCGAAAAGCUAGGGGAGCAAACGGGG
rnacentral:rRNA from 1 species